UACGAAGGGGGCAAGCGUUGUCCGGAUUUACUGGGCGUAAAGAGCGCGCAGGCGGCUGGUCAAGUCCGAUGUGAAAUCUCCCGGCUUAACUGGGAAACUGCAUCGGAAACUGAUCGGCUUGAAGGUGGGAGAGGGUAGUGGAAUUCCCGGUGUAGUGGUGAAAUGCGUAGAUAUCGGGAGGAACACCAGUGGCGCAAGCGGCGAACUGGCCGAGACCUGACGCUGAGACGCGAAAGCGUGGGGAGCAAACAGG
rnacentral:rRNA from 1 species